rnacentral:rRNA from 1 species
CAAAACUUUCAACAACGGAUCUCUUGGCUCUGGCAUCGAUGAAGAACGCAGCGAAAUGCGAUAAGUAAUGUGAAUUGCAGAAUUCAGUGAAUCAUCGAAUCUUUGAACGCACAUUGCGCCCGCCAGUAUUCUGGCGGGCAUGCCUGUUCGAGCGUC